CGGAUUGCAGGCUGCAACUCGCCUGUAUGAAGUCGGAAUUGCUAGUAAUCGCGGAUCAGCAUGCCGCGGUGAAUACGUUCCCGGGCCUUGUACACACCGCCCGUCACACCAUGAGAGUCGGGAACACCCGAAGUCCGUAGUCUAACCGCAAGGAGGGCGCGGCCGAAGGUGGGCUUGAUAAUUGGGGUGAAGUCGUAACAAGGUAGC
rnacentral:rRNA from 1 species